rnacentral:sRNA from 1 species
AUUUGAGCAGACUUGAAGAGGAGAGAAACUGAGACACGCAGGGCUUGUGGUCCCUGACAAGGAGGACCCUGAGGGCAACCACACCUUGCCAUGCAGAGCACCUGGCUUCUCAUCUGCCAACCUCACUCUGACCCGGCUGCAGGAAGGGAAGGAGCCAACCCCGGACUCAAGACUCAAGGGGACCAGAACCAGGGAGAUGAGACAUACCAGGGCUGGGCAGCUGUGGGGGUCCUUCCAGAGAGGAGCUGAGAUACGCCUACCUGGAGGGGCCCCUGGGCCUGGAGGGGCUCCUCAGUGUGACUGGGUGAAGUGUUUUCAGAGGACCAGGGUUGAGGUUGGGGGCAUCUCAUCCAGACCCUGCCGGCAUCUGCCCCAGAACCCAAGGGCCCCUCCUUCCUCCCUCCUCAAUGGAAAUGCUGGGGAUGUCCUCAGUCACCCUCUGAGCACUCACACAUCACCCCUUAUUUGGAAAUUUUUCUCACUCUAACCUUCCUUCCUGCUGCACCUUCUGCCCCAUCCCCAGGCUCUGGCCUCUCUCUCUCCUCUUCUACCCUUUAGCAGGUAAUGACUCAGUUCCCACUGAGGAGCCAGCUGUAGGUGAGAGUCUGGGCUCUCGGUGAGGUUGGGAGAAGGAAAAGGCUUAUGGGCCAGGGGGUGGGAGGGAGAAUGGG